rnacentral:rRNA from 1 species
UACGUAGGGGGCGAGCGUUGUCCGGAUUUACUGGGCGUAAAGCGCGUGUAGGCGGCCGGAUAAGUCGGGUGUGAAAGCCCGGGGCUCAACCCCGGGAUGCCGCCCGAGACUGCUCGGCUUGAGGACGGAAGAGGGGCGUGGAAUUCCUGGUGUAGCGGUGAAAUGCGUAGAGAUCAGGAGGAACACCCGUGGCGAAGGCGGCGCCCUAGUCCGUUACUGACGCUGAGACGCGAAAGCGCGGGGAGCGAACGGG